AACGCACAUUGCGCCCUUUGGUAUUCCGAAGGGCAUGCCUGUUCGAGCGUCAUUAUCACCCCUCGAGCCCUGCGCUUGGUGUUGGACGGCUUGGUCGAUUCGACGACCCCUCCCAAAGACAAUGACGGCGGCGGCGGUUCCCCCGGUACACUGAGCUUUCGGGCACGUAUCGGAUGUAAGGGCGCCCCACCCCGGUCUUCUCCCUUGUACGGGGAACUUUUCGUAUGGUUGACCUCGGAUCAGGUAGGAAUACGCGCUGAACUUAA
rnacentral:misc_RNA from 1 species